UACCAGCACCCCGAGUGGUCGGGACGAUUAUUGGGCCUAAAGCAUCCGUAGCCGGUUUUACAAGUCCUCCGUUAAAUCCAGCUGCUUAACAGAUGGGCUGCGGAGGAUACUAUAAGACUAGGAGGCAGGAGGAGGCAAGCGGUAGCUCAGUGGGUAGGGGUAAAAUCCGUUGAUCCAUUGAAGACCACCAGUGGCGAAGGCGGCGUUGCCAGA
rnacentral:rRNA from 1 species